GGGGGGGACUGUAACAUCCCAGGUUUUGGAGUUUAUAAAAGGGUGAAAACAUAUGUGUGCAUUGCAUUCAUGCAUAGAAAAUCCGGGAAAAAUUCGCACGUUUAUCUAAAACACAAAGAGAUAAAGUUUCUUUUAUGUUGGUGGAAUUGACCUAGGUCAUCGACGUGAGUGCGACAAAUCUCGAAAUGACCUUAGUUAACACUUAUGUUUUUGGGCACAAUUGAGAUAUUAAAAAAAGUAGGUAAGAAAAAUACAUCAACUUGAUCAUCAUGAUAGUUGAAUAGAAACUUGGGCUGCGUGAUGCCACGCCACGACGCCCCUCUCAUAUAUUUAAAUCUUAUAUCUUAUAUCUUAUAUCUUAUAUCUUAUAUUUACUAAUUGGAGACUCCCAUUGAGGCUCCACGUUAAUCCUAAUUAUCUGCAAAAAUUAACCGUUUGAUUAAUAGAACAUAAAAGCAUAAACGUUGGAUGAACUGCUGGUCUCUCCCACGCCCACGCCUCUUCUCCAUCAUAUCCCCCGAUGCAAUCUAAAAAAACAGGUUUUCAAAAAAAUGAAUUAGUGCUAGGAGGAACUAGACACUAAAUGAUAUAGUAGAAGCGAGACCUCGGCGUGAGAAUUCCAGAAAUUCGCUCCUGAAAGGAUUCGAAUUCUGGUCGUUGGGGUGCGCCACUGCGACCCUAACCACUGGGCUAUGCCCACGUCCUCAAAAAAAAAAAAAGGUUUUCAUCAUGCCCUAGAAAAGUUACAGAAAAUCCAUCAGUUGGCCAGGUUAAUGGCGGCGGCAGCUAACCAAGCCCGCGUCGUCUUCAGCGGAAAGCUCAGGCACGCACCAUCCACUACAAUGUCCUCUUUUGUUUUUUGCCACGAAGCCAUGCUAUUGAUUGUGUCUCGGGAUCAAUCAUCGCGCUGCUCCCAUAUCGUUGGUGAGAUGAAAUCCACUUGAAUAGUGCAGCAUGGAUGGACCCAGCUGAUUUUGAACUUUCCGAUACGGUUAAUUAUCUGAUGGGCUAAAAGUGGUACUUCUUCCGGCCGGCCGGCGAUCACGGCCGACGCGAGCCAGGCAAGUCUUCGUACAGGUUUUUCUCUCUUAUUUAGUACAAAAUAGAAACGCAAUGCUUAUGAAUUCUAUUGAUGUAUGUGGUCUCCAUUAGAUUUAGGUAUUUCUUCCCUAAAUUAAUCAGAGUUCCCAGCUAACAAUGGUUAAUUAUCUGAUGGUCUAAAAGUGGUACUUCUCCCGGCCGGCCGGUCUAUUGCGAUGACGGCAGACCGAGACAGGCAAGUCUCCGUACAGGGUUUUCUCCUAUUAGGUAGAAAUUAGAAACGCAAUGCAUAUGAAUUCUAUUGAUGUAUGUCGUCUCCAUUAGAUUUAUGUCUUUUUCCCUAAAUUAAUCAGAGUUCCCAGCUAACAAUGGUUUAGAUAGAAAUUUGUGACAUUGUAUGUCAGAUCUUGAUUCAAUGUUGAAGCUCUAGGGUUUAAACAAAUUUGAUUCUGAAAUAUCCUCUAUUUGCUUUUCACCAAAUACUGAACAUGCGCAUAACACACACUGGACAUGCUGCUUCCUUAUUAUUUUGUAUGCAAUUAUGCACAGUGCUGCUAAUCAUGUACUACGUUGAUUCAGAUAUUCCCAAACUUCAGAUGCUAUAAUAUGAAUUCUGAUGUUCUGUGGGCCAGACGAUAAGCAAAUAAAUGUUUUGAAUGUCAAUUAUGAUUACGGUCUUCCAUAGGUAUCUAAUUAGGUUCUCAAUAUAGCUUUUUUCCUCAUCUGCUACAUGUGUUUUAUAUUUGCAGAAUAUUAUGCAAGACCCCAGACGAGAACUUGAAACCCCUGAAAAAUCAGAUCAUGGAUGGAUAUAAUUGUUGCAAAAAUAUAAUGUCCCUUCCUUUAUUUUGAAAAUAUUACACCACUCGGGAUUUGACUAGCACGAUAAAUUCAGUUGCAGCUUUACAAGGUAUCCGUGAGGUACGAGGUUACAGUGUUCCACAAAGAAAGGGUUGAAGACCAUGACGAUUGCAAGAAUGUUCCUUUCAGCAGAAGAUAGCGGUGAUUUUCAUGUCCAUAGUUGCGGAACAUGCCUCCAGCUAGCUCUAUACUAAUUUCAUUGUAAUUUAAAGAGCUGCAUUUUUUAUGCCAACCGAUUUUUAUGUGUUCCACAAUUAGAAACAUCGUAUUGACUUUAUUUUUAUAGUUUCAUGAGGAUGCAGUUUUCUUUC